rnacentral:rRNA from 1 species
GACGAACGCUGGCGGCGUGCUUAACACAUGCAAGUCGAACGAAGAGCGAUGGAAGCUUGCUUCUAUCAAUCUUAGUGGCGAACGGGCGAGUAACGCGUAAUCAACCUGCCCUUCAGAGGGGGACAACAGUUGGAAACGACUGCUAAUACCGCAUACGAUCUAAUCUCGGCAUCGAGGAUAGAUGAAAGGUGGCCUCUACAUGUAAGCUAUCACUGAAGGAGGGGAUUGCGUCUGAUUAGCUAGUUGGAGGGGUAACGGCCCACCAAGGCGAUGAUCAGUAGCCGGUCUGAGAGGAUGAACGGCCACAUUGGGACUGAGACACGGCCCAGACUCCUACGGGAGGCAGCAGUGGGGAAUCUUCCGCAAUGGACGAAAGUCUGACGGAGCAACGCCGCGUGAGUGAUGACGGCCUUCGGGUUGUAAAGCUCUGUUAAUCGGGACGAAAGGCCUUCUUGCGAAUAGUAGAAGGA